rnacentral:lncRNA from 10 species
AUGUUGGCCAGGUUGGUCUCGAACUCCUGAACUCAGGCGAUCCUCCUGCCUCAGCCUCCCAAAGUGCUGGGAUUACAGGCGUGAGCCACUGCACCUGGCCCAUCUCCUCAUUUGUUAAACACACUCACUUUAAAGUGUUUUUUUGUUUGUUUGUUUGUGUGUGUGUGUUUUUUGAGACAGAGUUUUGCUCUGUCGCCCAUGCUGGAGUGCAGUGGUGCGAUCUCGGCUCACUGCAGCCUCCGCCUCCUAGGUUCAAGCGAUUGUCCUGCCUCAGCCUCUUGAGUAGCUGGGACUACAGGCGCGCGCCACCACGCUCGGCUAAUUUUUGUAUUUUUAGUAGAGACAAGGUUUCACCAUGUUGGCCAGGAUGGUCUCGAUCUCUUGACCUCGUGAUCCACCCCGCUUCGGCCUCCCAAAGUGCUGUGAUUACAGGCGUGAGCCACCCCGCCCGGCCUAAAGUGUUUUUAAUUCAUUUAAUUGAAAUAGCUAUUAGAACUUUUCAUGGCCAAGCACUGCAUAAGGCACAUGGAUUGAGAAAACAAAUAUAACAGCUGUAAGGGACAGCAGUACCUGACAUAUAACGGACAGUUAGUCAAUGAUAAUUCCCCACCCCACUCACCUCCCUUGUUCGUGUCCCUCUUUCAGGAACCAAUUCCAAUGCACAGCUUCCAGGGAUGAGCAAUGGAGGACAGAAUGGAAUAGAGCAGGAACUAAGCAAGGAUGCUAAUGCAAGAUAUAGCCGAGUGGGGCCAAGAAGCCACCCCAACUCCUACCCCCGGGCAGCCUGGUCGCCCUGGCCCUGCCCACACAGCCUGCCCUGAGGCAUGCUGAGAUCCCAGUCUGCAUCAGGGCUGCCCAUCUGCCUUGGUGCUCAUCACCUUGACAUGAACAGGCCCGAAGUUCUUUUCCAGGAUGGCAGAGCCUUCAGAACCAUCAACUCCUACCCCUCCAUCGUGCAGAGGCCCAGAGAGGGACAGAGACCUGCCCAACACCACAGCAAUGAAGUGGACAAUGAAGAUUCAAAACCACAUUUGCGGUCUCCUCAUUCCGAGAGGAGAUUCUAGAUGAGCCCCGUUACAGGAGUGUAUUUGCACCGGCACACGCCAAGGGACUCCAUCCCCAUGACGCAGAUGGCCCGGGACCUUCUUCCUUUCCAGGCUGUCCCUUCCUCUUGGGUCCCUGAGAGGGCAGUCCUGGUGAGGGCAGGAGAGGACAGCUAAGGCUAAGGAGCUUGGGAAAAGAUGUCCUCUUAAGAACUGCUUUCCAGCACAUGUUGUCCCACCUUCUGAAAUUCAAGGAGAUGGUUAAAAGAGAAAAGCCUUUCUCCGGACCCACCUGCAGCAUUAAGAACCAUGGGUUGGGCUGGGCACGGUGGCUCAUGCCUGUAAUCCUAGCACUUUGGGAGGCCGAGGUGGGUGGAUCAGUUGAGGUCAGGAGUUCGAGACCAGCCUGGCCAACACGGCGAAACCCCGUCUCUACUAAAAAUACAAAAUUAGCCGGGCACGUGCCUGUAAUCCCAGCUACUCAGCAGGCUGAGGCAGGAGAAUUGCUUGAACCCGGGCGGCGGAGGUUGCAGUGAGCCGAGAUCUCGCCAUUGCACUUCAGCCUGGGUGACAGAGUGAGACUCUGUCUUAAAAAAAAAAAAAGAAAGAAAGAAAGAAAAAAAAAAAGAAGCAUGGGUUGGUGCAGGCAUGGCCUAAAACAUUAGAUAAUAUGAAAAAAGCUGCAUUUUAUUGGGCACUUACUAUGCACCAGGGACAUUGUUCAUUAGCUCAGUAGAUAACUACUGUGUGUCCAUUUGCAUUUCCUGGGAACACUUUCAUGACCAAAACAGACAAGGUCCUUCACUCAUAGCCUCUUUCUGAAUCUUCUCAACUUCUCAUCAGCUAAGUGCUGUCAUCCAUGACUGAGAAAUGGCUCAGAGUGAAAUGACAUGCCCAAGGUCACAAGGCAACAACAUGGCAGUCAGUCAGAAAAUUAUCAAACAAGCAGGACUUCCAAGGCAAGGAAGAAAUGGAUGGGGAGAGGGAUCUACCAAGGUUACAGCAGUUUUUUGAGCAGCUGGCACGUGCCUCUGCUGCCAACAUGAUGAGGUACAGAACCCAGCACAGGGAAUGCUCAGCCUGUGACUGUGAGCUGGAUGUGAGAGUCUCCUGAGGACCCUCGGUAUACUCAGAGCAUUUCCUCUCAGGGUGCAGGAAGAGGAAAGCAGAGGAAGUGGACUUGAAGGACCAAAGGUGGGAUCCUAGCUGAGCCAAUCACUGAGAAGCCAUGUGGUCUUGGGCAAGUCAUUCCCUUCUCUGAGCCUCAGUUUCCCCAUCUGUAAAAUGGAGGUAAUGAUACUAUGCCUACCUCAUCAUCAUGCUGUGAAGAUUAAAUGAGUUAUGCCAUGGAAGUGCUGUACAUUACCCAUUGAUAAUGUCUCAGUGGCCUCUCAAUGAAAUGGAGUGUGACAGAGUGCCACACUCUGAAACGGCUCAUCCCCGGUGAUGGUGCUGGGACUAGAACCCGGGCAACCUCGCAGUGCCAUGCCCUACUGCAUCACUACGUCCACCUCGAGGGCCCCCUCCAGCUCCUCUCUAAGCCCCAUUUUGAAUUCCCAAGCUGCCUGCAGCCUGAACCACACAGCCAUCUGUCACCCAACUCUCAAUAUCUGCAAGCUCAGCGUGGGGCGGCCAGGUCCUGAUUUGCUCCCGUCACUCCUCCCGGCUCCCAGAAAUAAAGGAAUAAAUACAUGAUGAAAGAGAGGCAUCUGUAUGUGUUUUGUGUGUGAGUGCAGGGGCCAGGAUCUGGGUGCCAGGGAUGGGGGGUGGUCACUUCCUAGGGGCUUUGGGGCCGCUGGGGCCGGCUUCAGUCUGGAUCUGCAGCAGGUGUUAGUGGGAGCUGGCAGCCAGUAGUCAUGCCCUAGGUGAGGGAUCUGCGGCUGACACAAAGAGAGGGCUGGCCUUUGGACAGAGACCCAGCAGGUGCCCAGCCUGGACUGUUGUUCUUCCAAGUCCUCUCAGGAUGCUAGUGGGCCCUCUCCAACUUGAGGAGCAUUUCUUUUUAAUUUUUUUUUUUUUUCAGACAGAGUCUCGCUCUGUCGCCCAGGCUGGAGUACAGUGGCAAGAUCUUGGCUCACUGUAACCUCUGCUUCCUGGGUUCAGGCGAUUCUCCCGCCUCAGCCUCCUGAGUAGCUGGGAUUACAGGUGCACGCCACCACGCCUGGCUAAUUUUUGUGUUUUUAGUACAGACAGGGUUUCACCAUGUUGGUCAGGCUGGUGUUGAACUCCUGACCUCAUGAUCCACCCGCCUUGGCCUCCCAAAGUGCUAGGAUUACAGGCGUGAGCCACUGCACCCAGCCCUUGAGGAGCAUUUCUAAUUCCAAGCCCAGCAAGCCUCCUUAGAGCAGCUGCCUCUGGC